UACGUAGGGUGCGAGCGUUGUCCGGAAUUAUUGGGCGUAAAGAGCUCGUAGGCGGUGUGUCACGUCGAUCGUGAAAACUUGGGGCUUAACCCUGAGCUUGCGGUCGAUACGGGCAUCACUGGAGUUCGGCAGGGGAGACUGGAAUUCCUGGUGUAGCGGUGAAAUGCGCAGAUAUCAGGAGGAACACCGGUGGCGAAGGCGGGUCUCUGGGCCGGUACUGACGCUGAGGCGCGAAAGCGUGGGUAGCAAACGGG
rnacentral:rRNA from 1 species